rnacentral:rRNA from 1 species
UCCUACGGGAGGCAGCAGUGGGGAAUCUUGCACAAUGGGGGAAACCCUGAUGCAGCGACGCCGCGUGAGCGAUGAAGCCCUUCGGGGUGUAAAGCUCUUUCGUCAGGGAAGAUAGUGACGGUACCUGGAGAAGCAGCUGCGGCUAACUACGUGCCAGCAGCCGCGGUAAUACGUAGGCAGCAAGCGUUGUUCGGAGUUACUGGGCGUAAAGGGUGUGUAGGCGGUUCUUUAAGUUUGCUGUGAAAUCUCCCGGCUUAACCGGGAGGGUGCGGUGAAUACUGAGGGACUAGAGUACGGGAGAGGAAAGUGGAAUUCCUGGUGUAGCGGUGAAAUGCGUAGAUAUCAGGAGGAACACCGGUGGUGUAGACGGCUUUCUGGACCGACACUGACGCUGAGACACGAAAGCGUGGGUAGCAAACAGGAUUAGAUACCCUGGUAGUCCACGCCCUAAACGAUGCAUAUUUGGUGUGGGCAGUUCAUUCUGUCCGUGCCGGAGCUAACGCGUUAAAUAUGCCGCCUGGGGAGUACAGUCGCAAGGCUGAAACUCAAAGGAAUUGACGGGGGCCCGCACAAGCGGUGGAGCAUGUGGUUCAAUUCGACGCAACGCGAAGAACCUUACCUGGGCUCGAACGGCUUCUCAACGCCGGUGGAAACAUCGGUAUCCCGCAAGGGAGUGGAGUCGAGGUGCUGCAUGGCUGUCGUCAGCUCGUGUCGUGAGAUGUUGGGUUAAGUCCCGCAACGAGCGCAGCCCCUGUCCUGUGUUGCCAUCAUUCAGUUGGGAACUCGCAGGAGACCGCCAGCGAUAAGCUGGAGGAAGGUGGGGAUGACGUCAAGUCCUCAUGGCCUUUAUGUCCAGGGCUACACACGUGCUACAAUGGACGGUACAAAGCGCAGCAAACCCGCGAGGGGGAGCCAAUCGCAAAAAACCGUUCUCAGUUCGGAUUGCAGGCUGCAACUCGCCUGCAUGAAGCUGGAAUCGCUAGUAAUGGCAGAUCAGCACGCUGCCGUGAUAC